GGACGGCGCAUGCGCAGAGGCUGGACCCGCAGCCAGGCAGAGCCACGAGGCCGGAGGACGAUUCCUCCAAGUCCUGAAACUUGAGGCGAAGAGACACUGGGCCCUGGAGCUGACCUUCACCUCGAAGCCUGCCCUCCUCUCCCUCCACUCUCUUGCCAUCAUCAUCACAUUAGACCAGCAACUGCCCUCAGCACAGGAAGGACCCAUAAGAUGCGGGGAAGUCAAGUUCUUCUCUGAGCACUGGAGCUCAAUAAAGAAUAAAACACAGUAAGAGCUGUAAAAGGAAAUCGGGACGCCAUGAUUUGGAAGCGCUCACAAGUAAGAGAAUGCCCACACAGAGGAGUGUGAGGUGAAGUGGAAAAGAAACAAAAGAGGUUCCUAAACUAAGAAGGUGUUUAAAGGGCUU